rnacentral:lncRNA from 1 species
GAGGCUGAGUUUAUUUUUUAUGUUUGUAAUACUCUGUAAUAUUUAGAAAGUUCUUACAAGACCAGUAUAUUUAUUAACCAGAUAAAUUUUGUAUUAUACAAUUCUAUAAAUAAUUCGGAAUCAAUUAACUUUUAACAAUAAUAAAAUCCUAUAUAUUUUUUCAAUAUUAGAUAAACAUUAACAAGUUAAUUAUCUCCUUCAGCAAAUAUUGAUGUAGUUGGGUCAUUAUAUUGACUGCUAAGAGAAAGCUUGGUUUCAUAAAUCUGACAAAAGUUAAAGCUUAGUAUGUUUUAUUUUUGCAAAUAAUUGGUUUGUAGACAAUUGGUGCUUCAUAUUUGAUGAAUAAAUGAAAUUAGGUUACAAUAAAGCAGAGCUGUCAAUAUUUUCCCCAUAAUAUGGCGUUCAGAAAAUCUGUAAAUGUACAUAAAAUUUUGGAAAUGCAAAUGCCUUGUUUCCCUGCCUCUCUUGAAAUAUGCUGACCUUGGCUAAAAGACAACAAAUACCAUUAAAAAGUACAAGGCCUGUGAGAUAAUCGUAUAUAUUUUUCCAAGAACAAACCAGUCAGAUUUGUUUUCUCUCCCCAUUUUGCUUAUCAUUACAGCCUCACAGUCUACCUAAACACCUCUGGAGGGAGCUCUGUACCUUUUAGGACAUUAUCGUUUGAAGACAAUCUGUAACUUGGCUACAGUCUUGAGUAGCAAGAUGCUACAACCCUGAAAAGGUCAAAGAUGCUGUUCCUCUGGUUUACUUAUAGAUAGGACAACUUGUUUACAGCAAUUAAAAAAUCCAAAAUAAGCUAAUCAUAAGCUAGUAAUUUCCACUGUUGUGCCUUAAGGUUCAUAGUUAAGCAUGUAUAAAGCUUUGAUGACAAUUGCAAAGAAGCUGUGUUUGUGAAAGUUUACUGAAGUGCCAGGAGAGCUGCACAUAACAGGCAGUGCAGUAAAGUAGGAGUGUGGAAUUGGAAGAUGGACUGCCUCAGGAUGAAACCUAACUGCCACUUCCUGGUGUUGUGAACUUGGGCAAGUUCUGAGUUCUUCAUCUCUAAAAUACAGAUUCAGGAAAUAAUCGUACCUUUCUCAUUACAGGUGCUGGGAGAAUCAAACAGUUUAAUAUAUGUAAAAUGCUUAGCCUAGCCUUUCGUCUUGCUCAAUUGCCACUGCCAUGAGAGGAGCUUCCACUGAGAAGCUACUAUCCCCCAAGUCUGGUUCUCAGAAUAUGCACAUGUGGAAGAGAAGAAAGCCUGACUUUUAGCAAGAAGCCUAUUCCUGUGGUAUGUGCAACCUCAGCAGAGCUUUUCAUUAAAGUCAAGUCCAGUCCAAAUCAGCUGAUCCUUGAGUGACCUGCAUAUAUCUGAGAAAUAUUAUUGUUGUAUGCCACUGAUAGAUAUUUUGUGAUUGAUUAUCUAUCUGUCACAUAACAAAAGCUGACUGACAUACAUGUAGUUUCAGGAUUAUCAAAAAGGCAUUAUCUUUUCAAAAAUGCUAGAAAUAAUUCCAAAGAUAAUUGUUUGUGCCAGAUGACAUAAUUGUAUAUACAUUGUAGAUGGAAUUAUCAAGAUUACUUUUAAUGCCAACGACAUUUAGGAAUGCUAAUUAACUUAUGAAACACCAUCACAUAUCAUUAAUAAAGGAAAUUUAUAUUUUGUGUUCCCUAAAUGGCACUAUAGGAAAUGUAACAUAUGCUCAUUAAGUUUGCGGUUAUGAUUUUAAUCAUUGAAAUGAAGUCAAUGAAAUUGUAUAACUGAAAAAUUCCACCAAAUAACUAUAAAUUUCACUUUUAGAUGGAUAUUAGAAUUUAUAAAAUAUGUCUAGUGACUUAAUUGUAUACUAUUUAACAAUUACAAGACUAUUAUAACAUAUUUAAUUAACAGAAUUGAAACAAGUAUUUGUUGAAAAACAAAGAACAUUUUAAACAA